AGAAUAACUAUAUAUUAUCACCAGUC
rnacentral:miRNA from 1 species